rnacentral:rRNA from 1 species
UCCUACGGGAGGCAGCAGUCGGGAAUAUUGCGCAAUGGAGGAAACUCUGACGCAGUGACGCCGCGUAUAGGAAGAAGGUUUUCGGAUUGUAAACUACUGUCGUUAGGGAAGAUAAAAGACUGUACCUAAGGAGGAAGCCCCGGCUAACUAUGUGCCAGCAGCCGCGGUAAUACAUAGGGGGCAAGCGUUAUCCGGAAUGACUGGGCGUAAAGGGUGCGUAGGUGGUUUGACAAGUUGGUAGCGUAACUCCGGAGCUCAACUUCGGAACUACUACUAAAACUGUUGGACUCGAGUGCAGGAGGGGG